AGCGAACGCUGGCGGCAGGCCUAACACAUGCAAGUCGAACGGAUCCUUCGGGAUUAGUGGCGGACGGGUGAGUAACACGUGGGAACGUGCCUUUUGGUUCGGAACAACUCAGGGAAACUUGAGCUAAUACCGAAUGUGCCCUUCGGGGGAAAGAUUUAUCGCCAUUAGAGCGGCCCGCGUCUGAUUAGCUAGUUGGUGAGGUAAAGGCUCACCAAGGCUACGAUCAGUAGCUGGUCUGAGAGGAUGAUCAGCCACAUUGGGACUGAGACACGGCCCAGACUCCUACGGGAGGCAGCAGUGGGGAAUAUUGCGCAAUGGACGGAAGUCUGACGCAGCGACGCCGCGUGAGCGAAGAAGGGCCUUCGGGUCGUAAAGCUCUGUUCUUGGGGACGGAAUAAAAUAGACGGUACCCAACGGAGAAAGCCCCGGCUAACUACGUG
rnacentral:rRNA from 1 species